rnacentral:rRNA from 1 species
CCGUAGGUGAACCUGCGGAAGGAUCAUUAGCGAGAGGGAGCUUCGCGCUCCAGGGGCUUCGGUCCCGCACUCGUCACCCUGUGUCUACCUACCUUUGUUGCUUUGGCGGGCCUCGGGCUUCGUCCCGCGCCGGCCAGGGGCUUUACCGCCUCGGCUUGCGAGCGCCCGCCGGAGGCCCAUUCAAUUCUGUUUAUCAGUGACGUCCCGAGUGAAAACACGAUAGUUAAAAAACUUUCAACAACGGAUCUCUUGGUUCCGGCAUCGAUGAAGAACGCAGCGAAAUGCGAUAAGUAAUGUGAAUUGCAGAAUUCAGUGAAUCAUCGAAUCUUUGAACGCACAUUGCGCCCCUUGGUAUUCCGGGGGGCAUGCCUGUUCGAGCGUCAUUGCACCCCUCAAGCACAGCUUGGUAUUGAGCCUUCGCCCCUGCGGCGGGCCCGAAAAGCAUUGGCGGCUCGGCGUAGACUUCAAGCGUAGUAAACAUCUCCCGCUCUGGACGUCGCGCCGCGGCCUGCCAGACAGUCCCCACGAUUUCAAUGAUUGACCUCGGAUCAGGCAGGGAUACCCGCCGAACUUAAGCAUAUCAAUAAGGCGGAGGA